CAACCAUCAAGCCCCCGGCUUGUGUUGGGGACCUGCGGCUGCCGCAGGCCCUGAAAACCAGUGGCGGGCUCGCUAGUCACUCCGAGCGUAGUAGUUACAUCUCGCUCAGGGCGUGCUGCGGGUUCCGGCCGUUAAAAAGCCUUAUUUUACCCAA
rnacentral:misc_RNA from 1 species